AUUGAACGCUGGCGGCAUGCCUUACACAUGCAAGUCGAACGGUAACGCGGGGCAACCUGGCGACGAGUGGCGAACGGGUGAGUAAUACAUCGGAACGUGCCCAGUAGUGGGGGAUAGCCCGGCGAAAGCCGGAUUAAUACCGCAUACGACCUACGGGUGAAAGCGGGGGAUCGCAAGACCUCGCGCUAUUGGAGCGGCCGAUGUCAGAUUAGCUAGUUGGUGGGGUAAAAGCCUACCAAGGCGACGAUCUGUAGCUGGUCUGAGAGGACGACCAGCCACACUGGGACUGAGACACGGCCCAGACUCCUACGGGAGGCAGCAGUGGGGAAUUUUGGACAAUGGGGGCAACCCUGAUCCAGCAUGCCGCGUGCGGGAAGAAGGCCUCGGUUGUAACG
rnacentral:rRNA from 1 species